UUUUUUUUAUCUUGCUUAUCACUGGACGUGAGUGGUCUGAUCUUGAGGGUUCGAGCAUCCCACCCAUGAGCAAAUGAUGACACUCGUGAGAGCUUCUUGGGUCAGCACGUCUCCGUCUGAAUACAUCAGAUGACUUCAUAUACUGAACUUGGUCUCUUUUUUUUUUCCUUAUUAACAGAGAUGACAGAGGAUUCUCACACUUGUAUGUGGUUCCUUAUUAACAGAGAUUUUGCUGCUUGCAGCAAAAAAAAAAAAAAGCUCCUACAGGCCGGCAGUUGUAGAACUGUCUGUCUAGUCUGAUAACAGGCCAGUUGCUCCAGUACUAGUACUCCUGCACGAGAAAUGAUCGCAGUUCUAGUGAAUCUCUACAAGUCUGUGACGCCCUGUUUCGGUUCGUGAUGAGUGAACUGCCACAAUGAAUACUGUGAUUCUGUUGUCAAUUGUACAAUUUUCUUAACAUGAAUUUGAAGCAAAUUGGUUUUUUAAGGCAUGGCAUAUAGUCUCGUUUUCACCUCCACGUUCUACAGAGUUUAUUUGUUUCCCAACAUGUCUCUUAUGCAGAUGAUCUCGAACUGGAAUGAAACCCUUUGUAACACGCCACCCAAAUGUGCGUACAUUGGGUUCUUCCAUACUUUAUUUUCUUCAGCAUUUGAGCAUAAAUCAAUGUCUUUUCGGUGGUAAUCAUUAGUAAUCAGCAGUACAGGAAUGUCUAACCAAUAAUCUGUAGGCUGGUCUAAAUUGGCUGGUUCUGAAGGAGGAGGUCACGACGGCCGUGCUAAUUUUUUUUGGAACUGGACACAUGCCUGAGGGUGUUAAUGACACGGCUAUCGUGUUGAUUGCAAAAGUCCCUACGCCUGUGGAUCUAAAGGACUUUCGUCCUAUUAGUCUAUGCAAUGUAAUUUACAAAGUUGUGUCUAAGUGCAUGGUGAACAGACUCCGUCCGUUGUUGUCAGUUUUAAUCUCAGAGAACCAAAGUGCCUUCAUCUCAGAGAACCAAAGUGUCUAAGUGCAUGGUGAAAUUGCCGCUACUCGGGCGCGGUGCCCCUUGAUGCAGGCAGCAUCUGUCAAGUUUCAAAGCGUUGCGUAACUAUAUGCCAGUAUGCUGUAUAUUGAUAUGUCAUAAACCUAUUGUCUUUGGAAACAUGACCUGUUGUCUAUUGGUGCGACUGACAGAACAGAUUGUUGGUCUAGAUCAUUUGUAAAUUGCUGAACCAAGGGCUAGACGGAUCAUGUUGGCAGGAUGUCAAUGUCACUACUCUCGCGUUCUUCUUCUUGCAUCUUUUUUUGUGUAACUUUUUUUUGUGGUUGAUCACUCAGGAUCGAGUUCGUACAGCGGAUAGUCUUCAACGAAGAGGCCGGUCUAACUGUGGUGUUUGCCCUCUUUGUAAGCAAUUUCAAGAAAUGGUGACACGUCUUCUACUCUUCUUUUCCCAUGCCGGUUCUCCAUGAGAGUUUGGGGCUUCACAAGAAUCGGCUUGCCUGGAUCGACUUUGAUCCUACCUUGUGGGCACCUGAUGGUAGUAAUAGAUAUGUCAAGGAGGGUUGCUGGGUGGAGACAGUCUGAAUCCGCAACAACUAAAGGAAGGUGCUUGCUUCUCUCUUUUUGCCCACCAAUUGAAAAUUUUGGAACUAGAGGAAUGCCAGUUCUGAAAUGUCUCCACCAUGCCAACUAUGGUCUUCAGCCGAAUCAAACUGCGACAUUCACUUUGGAAAUGGCAGGUGCAAAGCAUUUAAGUAGUUUCAGAUCCGGGGAGUAGGCUUUUGUUUAACUAGGGUGCGUUGCACCGUCUUGUGACUCUUUGUGCUCUUCUAUCUUAAUCAAUGAAAAGAGGCAAAUGUUUUGCUAGAGCAGCGUUUCAAUGCCUGAGCUUAGAUGAGCUCGGGCAAAAUAAAAAAUUCGCAAAAAAUAGAAAAUAAAUUUAAAAAUUUCUGAUUUUUUUUGCAAGCAAGAUGCCUGUACGUGGAGUUAUUGGGAGCUUUCAAAAAGAAUCUAGGUAUUGAAGAGGAGUUUCGUGGGAUGGCGGCUGGCCUUUGGUGGUGGAACGGUUGUAACAACAACGGCGACAAAAGGAAGGAGGCAGUGUAGGUAGCGGUUAUCAGCGUGGAAGUUUCAUCCGCAAAAAAAAUCAUUUUGGAAGGUAUAUAUUGAGGGUGAGAACAUUAUCCCAAGAUUUGGGAGUCCUUUUUUUAACUCCCUUUUUUUGGGGGAGUUAAGUACAUUUUGGGAAUUUGCUAGAGGGGUCUAACUCUCAAUAGUAAUAAUAGUAUUUUCUGAGAGUUCAGAGCAGAUUCCCAGGCAUGGGCUAAUAGGACUACGAUUAGGAACUAGAGGUGGCCUUAAUUUAACAACUAUUAACAGACAAAAAUGUUCAGUGUGAUGGUGGCAAUUUGUCCUAACACAUCGGAGAGAAAAACACUGAACGGAUCCGAACAGAGAAACUGAUAUUGAGAAGGAAGGACACUAAUUGGUAGCCAUUCUAGAAGAGGAUGGCGCUAACACUCGAAGUGACAAUGGGGCACGCUAGCUUCGUCAUGGUGCCAAUACCGAUCAUGCACCCAGUUCUUCGUCAACUAGCUAAAAAAAGUAUUCUAGUCGAUUCCUUACUUAUUUCCGAGUCCAUUAUUUCUUUGCAGUAUGUUCAUUUCGGAAAACCGCCACAUUUCGGUGCAUUUUCACCGCCGGUUUUCAUGAAGAGGAGGGGUCAAAAGUCCAUUUUUUAGUAGUGAAAGAAUUAAAUAUUGUGAAAGUACUUUCCUAAACAAAUUCACAUGCAUACUUUUAGUUUUCAAGUAUACAGCCUAAACAUAAAAAAGGUAAACAUUUGUAGAGAUAUACUCCUAUACUAGUCUAAAUAUCAAAAUUUGACCUUAUUCUUCCUGCAAAAGCGAGGGGAGUAAUAAUGUGACACUCAUGGUAAUGUAUUGCAACGAAAUCACAAAGUACUCCAACAUUACAAUCGGAAUGCAUGCAUCCUGACAACAGAAGGUAACAAGAAAAACUAAAUUCGUGGCAACAAUAGCACACCCCAUAUUGCCAUGCAGUACUUCUCACUGUAAUAUUUCCAUGCAUGUACCACAGCAAUAUUUGUUACUGCUGCAGUAACCUGCAUGUCAUAUUGCAAGUUAGAGAAUUAUUAAGGACUAGUACUACUAAAAGUAACUGAAGGGAAACCGUAGGUGGCAAUGAGACUGCCACGGAUUAUUUGUCGUUGCAAUACUGUCAUGGCGAGAUCAUUCUUUGAGAAGAGUGGAGGUGGAGUUGGCGGCUAUGGCCUCGAAUACAGAGCCACAGCCGCCGCUCUGGCAGCCUGCACCGCAGUAGGCCGGGCCGAUACCGCAGGAUCCCCACUGGCUGCAACAAUAGUUGUUUGUGCAAGCCCUGCCACCGGCGUUCUUGCCGCACGGCUUGUCGGUGCUGCAAGCACCGCUCUGGCAGCCGACGCCGCAGAACUCGGAGCCGAGGCCGCAGAAACCCCACUGGCUGCAGCAGAGAUUGUUGGGGCAGAGCUUGCCGCCGGCCUGGCUGCCGCACUUGAUGUCGGCGCGGCAGGGGCCACCCUGGCAGCCGGCACCACAGUACUCGGAGCCGAACCCGCAGUGCCCGUACUGGCUGCAGCAGUGGUUGUUGGGGCACACUGCGCCGGCGGCCUGGGCGCCGCAGCGUUUGCUGGUGUAGCAGGCGCCGUUCUGGCAGCCGUUGCCGCAGUAGUCGCCGCCCAUGCCGCAGUAGCCGUACUGGCUGCAGCAGAGGUUGUUGGGGCACUCCAAGCCGCUGCCCUGCUCGCCGCACCUCUGGGCGUGCGCGGUCGCCGCCGCGAAGGCGAGGACGACGGCCGCGCCGAGAGCGAGAGCCCUGGUGUUCAUCAUCUUCUUCCUUUUCUUCUUGACUUGUCGAUCUAGGGCUGGUUGUGUGCUUUGUGUGUGGAGUAAACAGGUGAUGAUCCCCACUUUAUAUAGGAGCUCUGAACUUCUGAUUGCAGUCCAGUUCGAUGUGGCAUACACGUGUUUCACUCUCAUUCUCAACUAUCUUAACCCGAUCGUGUCUAAUCGAGGAGAUUGUUAAUGUAUGCGAUGUGAUAUGAUGCCGGAUCCGUUCUUGAUAGAUGUGGCACUGCACUGUAAGUAAGAUUCGUAAUGUUUAUAUGCUGUUUAUGCUUGCAUGAGACAUGCAUGGAGCGCGAACUAUUAGAGUACAGUAACUUAGGGCUAGUACGUACGCAUACGCAUGUGAUUACACCUUGUCGUCCCCAUCCACAGAAGCACCCCAGCGGACACGUCGCGUGCAUCGCAUCUGAUCGAUGUGAACGUUGUGCUCUGCGUCCAUGAUAUGAUCGAGAUCUUAUCUUCCUCGCACCGGAUAUCCUUUAUGAUGAAAAAUGGUUGGUUGUUAGGAAUCUUGCAAUGGGUAAGGCAGGUCUGAUCCAUCUUGGCUCAGUUGAUCGAACCAUCGAAGUAGUAAUCGGCUACAUAUUUUUUUCUUAGGAGAGUAAAAUUAUGUUUUUGCGAAAAUGAUCAGAACUAUUAUAAAAGUUCAUUGGAAGUAUAAAGUAUCUCAAACAUAAUAAAAAUUACAUCGAGAUUUCGAGACCACCGAACGACCACUACUACCAUCAGAACAAGCAACCGACGUGCCGUUGUCGCCACUCCUCUACCGAAGCCGGCUUGACCUUGUUGAUGACAACCAUAAAGUAUUCUUGCACGUGCCCCUAAAGACCAGCGCCCUGGAGCCACAGUUGUCGCCGUUGAACUCUUGUAUAGAUCUGAAACACUUACACUAAAUUCCGCCAUAUGACAAAGAAACCCUAACCUCACCGCCCCAAGGAGGCGACAUGAAUCUACGUCGACUACGUCAAAACGGAUGAACUCGGGAGAGUAAUCGACUAGAGUACAAUUGAAUGUAUGCUCGGGUUAAGACCUCCGAUAGUGGGAGUAUCAUAGCAAGUACUCUCAAAUGGGGACAACAUGGUCAUCUCUUAGGUUUAUGCUACCGAUCACAAAUAUUUUCCAUGUUUACUAUAUUAUUACUAGGCCCAAGACUUUGUUUCGCCGGAAUUUCUCUUAAUAUGGAUUUGCUUUACCCGCCCAUUUGUGUGGCUAGAUGUCUUAUGUGUUGUCAUAUCGGUAAUAAUCAUUUCAGGGGAAAUAAAUAGUAGGAAAUGGCCUGCUGCAUAGGUUUCCUCCAUUUUCAGUUAAAAGUUAAAUACAGAGGAUAAAAAAAGAGCUAAAAAACUCUAGGGCCUAGUUGACUAUGUGCUGAGUAUCUUUCCUUUCGUAUCAUUUUCAGCCAUGUAUUGUUAAUUUUUAUUGGAUAUAUUGUCUCUAGCUUGGUUUUUUAUACCAAUCACAGUAUAUGUAACAUUGUAGCCAAAGAUGCAUCUCAAAGAAACAUGGUAAAGUUCGAUAAAAUAAACUUCCAAUUUAAGUGUAUCAUUAGCCUUAAGUACAAAGUACUUCUAUUUUAAUCACAAAUUUAGUUCAUAAUAACUUUAUUUAUCAACGUCUAGGCUGCCAUGCAAAAUUAUCCAUUCUUCCAUCAUAUGUUUUGCUGAGAAUUUACUUCUCUUAAUGCACUUUGCAACUUUAUUGCACUUGCCCACUUUAUCAUUGGCAACCUAACUAAAUUUGUGCGGUCCUAUAUACUACGGCACCAAAGCACUUUGACUAGUUUGGCUAUUGAAAUCUUGUGUUUGUGUGUCAUGCUCUGUUCUAUUCUUCAAGAACCGAAAUUCAAAUGGCCCUUCAAUUUACUAUCUCUUAAUCAAGUGUUCCACCUCUCCAAAUACUACUAUCCUCAGAUUGUUGCAUCUCACAACUAUCAACAGUACAUGUGUAGCAGAUGUUAUUUUUGAAGCUUGAUCCUUUGCUACUCACUAUGUCAUGACUCACCACAUGAUCGGAACGACAACUUGAUCAUGCAUGUGUAUUUUAACGGAUAAAAACCAAAUUUAUGUUUGAAAAAUAUUAUGCAUUUCAUGUUUGGAUGGAAUUCCUUUUAAAAUCAACUAAUGACUUGUUUAAAUUUCAGCUAUUUACGGAAUACAAUUGUAUUAUUUACCCGCCUAGCACAUCAAUUGAACUGGUCAUUUCCAAAGUUAAAUCCAAUAUUUAAUGUGUGUGUGUGUGUGUGUGGGGGGGGGUGUCCCACCUAAUGAUAUUUUCUAGAUGGCCAAGGCCAAUUUGUUGCACCAUUAGAAGUAGGCGAGAAGAAAGGUCUAACCUCCAAGAAUGGUGGUGUCCUUGUGUUCCAGCUUCCAAAACCAAUGAAACGAAAGGGUGAAGUCAUUUAACAUGAUUCGUAAUGUGGUAGAGCUAUGUUGAUCAAUGCGGAAUACAAGCACAUUCCCAAAUCUUUCAAAGGGUGUUGAGAAUAGCGGUGGUCCAAACUUGGUGGAGUAGAGGUACUAGCGGCUGGAAUUCCCAAAUACCAUUGGUAUCUUGGAUGUUUAGGUCAAGUGUUACCAUAUCCUGACAAUGAAGGGGCAAUGGAGAAACAUGUGCUAUAUUGACUCAGUUUGAUGUUGAUAUGUUGGGGAAGAAUGCAAGUCGACAAUAUGCUUGUGGUGGGGGUUGAGCUUGGUGUUGAGACACUUGCGAAAUAGGAGCUACACAAAUACCUUCAUUUUAUUGGGUACAUACCCUAGACUUUUGGAUGAAGUCUGCAUUUUGAUCUAUGAACCCCUUGUGCAUGAAAAUGCCAUAAGAAUGCUUGGUCGAGAAGGGAGUGCGUUUCUUGAGGAAACGUUUGUCUUGUCGAAGCCCAAACUGAAAGUCAGUCAACUAAGACAAGAGAAAUUGCAAUUUCAAGGAAACCACUUGGGGUUAGGCGAUUCCUCAUGUUAGACAUUGCACUGUUCAACAUGAUCGAGAUACCUAUUUUUGGGUCAGCGGAAUGGGUGAAAAAUAGGUUAGGGGGCGUAGGCUAGUGGUAGGUGGUGGAGCUAGGUAUCGAGGCAAAAGAAAGUUUAGUGGCCAUCUUUCAUCAUAGCGGAAGAAUCCCAUUGUAGUUUAGGUAUUUGUUGGUUAAUAGUAUUUGGAAGGAAGGAGUCAUGUUUCUGGGAUGCAAGUGGUGAUAGGAUACUGAAGUUGUACCCAACACACCCAAGGAUUGUUGGCAGGUAGGAGAAAUCUCUAUCUCUUUUUUUUUUUGCGGGUGGAGAAAUCUCUAUCUCUAUUCUCUAUUACUUAAAAAGAACGUAAGGUUCCCAUUUCAUCUUUCUUUCCACCACCCCUUCGUCCAACCUUUCGUGUAUAUGAUAAUCAAUCACCUUAUUUUACUUAUCUUCUGAACCAAUUCCACUUUAAUUUCAUCUACAUGCGCAUACCCUAUGUCUCGCGAACCAAAGCUUUAGCUGGACCUCAUGAGCUGGCCCAGAUCGGCCGUAUGUGUGUGCCUGACAUAUGUAUGGAGUGGGAAACAAUGUACAGCCCUCAGUGGCCGCCUAUGCGUUGGGUGAUUUGCCCACGCGCCGUUAAUCUAUAAAGCUUUGCUUUGGUUUUAAAAAAAAAUUCACUUUAAUUUACUUACCAAACUUCUAAUCAAAAUAUAAGGUAAUUCACCAUCAAAAUUUGAUGAACAUUUAUUUACACAAUAGCAUUAUUAUUGACAGGUAAAUCAUAAGCUAACGUACUAGUAGAAUAUUUAUAUCACGUUGCAACGUACGGGCAUUGUUCUAGUUUAAUGAAAAAAAUUCAUGAGUAGGCAGAUAUUCUACGCAUGGAUAUUUUUAGCGUUAGACCACCAAAUCCUCAUAAUUUGCAAAUAUUAUACAGCACAAUUAAGCAUUAUGUGCUUGUGCAAGUCUAGUACAUAGCCCAAAAGAACGCACGUGGAAUAUCAUCCACUUCUUUGAUAAUCCUUUUAAACAGACAUGUACUCCCUCCGAGUAGUAAAUAGCUAGACUCAAUGAAGGCUACAGAGAGAAGUAGUCUGCCCUCCUUAGAGCAUCUCCAACAGGCGUCCAACAUGUGGCGCGCUAAAAUCUGGUUUGCGGCGUGUCCAUUGUCAGAUUUGGCGCGGCGCGCAGCGCUGACUCCAGUAGCCGCGCUAAAAUGCAGCGCGCGCGCAGCUCUAGCAGGGCGAGCGAGCAGCCGGUGCAUCACAUUUGUUGCAUUUUGUCACAACACAUCCACAAAACAAAGACAUGACAUAUAAUUUAAAUCACAAACAUCAUUCUCGAUGAUCAUCAUUCUCGAUGAUCAUGUUGUGCAUGAUCCCACAAGCGUGCAUUAUGUACCAAGACAUCUUAUGAUCCCAAAAUCUAGCCGGUCCUCUCACAAUAGCAAAUUGGGCUUGCAAAAUCCCAAAAGCUCGCUCCACGUCUUUUCUAGCCGCCGCCUCAGCAUUGUGAAAAUCAAGAUAUUUCUUACCUUCCGUUUUUUCAAGGCUUCACAAAUGUUUGCCACUUUGGGUAGAUGCCAUCCAAAUUUGUGGUGCAUAGCUAGGAUCAUUGCAAAAUCCUCCUCCUCUUCCAUAUCAAAUUAUUCUUCGAAAGAAUCAUAUGAUGAACUCAUCUAAAAUGUUCAAAACUAGGCUAUAAACAACAUGCACCAAAUUUCAUGUAAAAAUCUGGAAGUUGGAAGCAAUACAUACCUUGCGGGCGCCAAGCGGCAGUGGGCGGCCGGGCGCUGUUCGUCGGAGGACUGCCGCGCGCGACGGGCGGCACUGACUAGAGAGAGGGAGGAAGCCGCGGCCGCGCUGGAAGAGACUGAGGAAGCGUCGGAACGGUCGCCGGAAAAAUGGGGUGGCGCGGGCGGCGGCGGCGGCGCGGCUAGAUGGGUAGGUGGAGUUGCGCGCGAGCGCUCGAGAGUUCAACGCACGGGAGCGGGCGGAACAAAUAAGUGGCGCGCGAUGACGUUUCCGCCCGCGCGCUGAAUUACAUAUGCCGCGCGCGCGGUUUUUGCGCGUCCGCUAGCUGGAGCGCCCGAAACGAUAGCACGCGCUAAAACUACUAUUUUUUCACACGGCACGUAUAUAGCGCGGCUGUUGGAGAUGUUCUUAGACAGAAGUAGUGUACAACAAUGGGACAAGAAUAUGAAAUAACAGGCAAUAGUGGAUCAGAGUGUGGAGGACGGAAGUUUAUAUGGCGAUAGUAAGGUACGUCUAGGGAAAGGUCGCGGCAUGACAACCUAAAGUGGAAGCUAUUGAAGCUGCCAUGACUUGGUCAACAUGCAUUAGGACAAAAUUAGUUUUUUGAAAGUUGAUUGAAAGACCAGUGUCUAGGCCAAGUCUUCAAGAAUUCUUAGUCAAAUCAAGACUUAGUAAAACAGUACAUACACACUAUUAUGGCUCACUAAAGUGGAUAAUACGUUGCACGACUUAAUUGAUGACCAGUUAGUCCGACAAAUCAUCUCAGUGUAACUGUCUACGCAUCAAGAACAUAAUUAUUUAAGCUUGGAGUUUCUCCAGAGUGAAUUGUAUGUGUGAAAACCCCCAAAACACUAUAUAAACCGCAAAGAGCUUGAUUAAGUUUGCCUUUUCUUUUAUUGACAUGGUGUUCCGGAAGUUUACUUUUGGCAUUGGCGAUCAUAUUCAGCCAGGGAUGUAACUCCAAGGCUGAGACGAAGCACACAACGGAGCACCCAACAAAGAGUAAAACCUCACAACAUAGAGAAAACAGCUCCAGUUUGUCAAAUCCAGGCCUAACAAAACAAAUUAAAUCAAAUUAGCAAAGCAGUGGAGCCGCCAAUCUUACCUUGUAGGAGUACACUAUAGCGUACUGAAGUGGACGGUAAUACGUUACACUAAUUAAAUAAUGAUCAGUUAGUCCGCCAAGUCCUCUCAGUGUCGGCAUCAGAAUAUAUUUACUUACGGUAAUUAAUUAAUGAUCACUUAGUCCAACAAGUCCUCCCAGUAUAAGCAUCAAGAGUAUUAUUUAACACUGCAAGAAAGCCAAGAACACUAUAUAUACCGCAGAGAGCUUGGUUAGUUGCAGUUCAUCACAAGCCAUCUACGUACACGUACGUGGAGAAUAACACGCAUGGCUCCUCAUGCUCUCUCUUGGGUUAGUGUGCCUCUGCUCAUCUUCUUGGCGUCGUCGUCAUGCGUUGCAGCGAGGGGCGCUCGGACACCCAAAACUACUGACCCGACAGCCGGGUUCACGGUGGUGAGCCUCGAGGAGAGCAACUUCUCACUGCAGCGGCCUUUCGAUGAGGCAAGCGGCGCCCGGUACAGUUUCGACGGCACCGUCCGGACGCUGUGGGUGCUCUCCUCCGACAAGCCCCAUGCCCGGCAGAGCCAUACCAGCCCAAGAACUGAGAUCAAGAUGGAAGUAAGUUAGCUAUUACUACUACUACUCAUUUAUGUAUUUGUGAUUGUGAAUGUAAUUAACUAUAUAAUCAAAGAUCUUAUUGGUUGCUUUUGCUAUUCUUCUACCUGCAGGGAUACGACUACAGCUCCGGCGUGUGGCAAUUUGAGGGCCACGGCUACGUCCCCUCAGGCACGACCGGGGUGUCCAUCAUGCAGGUGUUUGGCGCCGGCGAGACAGCCACCACCCUCAUGCUGCACGUCUACAACGGUGCGCUGCGGUACUACGACCGCCAGGUCGUGGAAGACGACAUCUAUGACAGGUGGUUCCGGCUUAACGUGGUCCACGACGUGAAGGCAUCGACGCUCACCGUGUACAUCGACGGCAAGCAGAAGCUGCACGUCCAUGGCCGUGGUGGCCACUCACAUUACUUCAAGUUUGGUGUGUACGCGCAGAACCAUGACUCCAGGUGCAUGGAGUCUCGCUGGAAGGGGAUCAGGAUCUUCAAGAAAGAGUGACACAUUGAUUCAGAUUUUAUGGCCGAUUACAUAUUUUUCUGGGAUAUAAUAUAUUUAUGUUGUCGCCUUAUCAUAGUGAUUGUGUAUUAUUGUGGACUUAUGAUAUGUACUAAUACAUAUGAGGCUGAGUAUGUAUGUUAUUUGUUUGUGGUAAUUUAGUUUUUCUUUAAUGACCCGAUGAUGUUUUAGAUGUGAGGACAAUAUUCGUUACAGAAUGCGUACACAGUUUGCAUGCGUACAUGAAUAAGUUUGUAACUAAUGUAAAAACAUAUCCUGAGAAUGGGAAUAAAUUACAAUAAACCAAACUUGAACAAUUUGCACUUGACUGACACACAAUGUGCUUGAUUAAUUAGAAGGCGUAUGAAUUUUGUCUGAAGUCAAACAGUGUAAAGUUUAACGACAUUUUUAGUAAAAACUAUGAACAACUACAAUAUUAAUUAAUUAGAUAUGAAAAAAAUAUUGUAUAUUUAAUGAUAUUAUUUUGGUAUUGUAGUUCCAACCAAAUCCUGGAAGCAAUAUGAUUUAAUGACCUGAUGAUGCAUGUGAAAACAGUAUUCAUCACAGUACGCGUACAUAGUUACCAUUUUUGCAGAUGUAUACUUAGUAAAUAAUAUUCAAACUGGAACAAAUAUUGUUUCCCGGAAAUAGUCCGGUUUCUAAGCAGUGUAUGUUAAAACUUUUGCAAAACAUUCUCAAAUUUACAACAACAAAUUGAUGUCAUAUACGAGGGAACCAUGCCAAGUUUCAUGUUUUUCAAUUUUUUACGACAACAAAUUGAUGUCAUAUAAUGUCACAAUUUUCUAUAUCACGAACAUUUUUGAAUCAGUGAACAUUUUUUGGAAUAUGGGGACAUUUUUUGAAAUAUGGGAACAAUUUUAUAAAAUCCACAAACAUUUUUUUAAUCAACGAACUUUAAAAAAAUUGGAACAAUAUUUGAAAUUCAUGAUCAUAUUUUUUUGAAUUCAUGAAUGUUUUUAAAUUUUGCAAAAAAAAUUUAUUUUGGAAAGAUUUUAAUAGAAAGCGGGUGGAAAUCUAAAAAACCUAACAAAAAACCUCGUUUUCAACAAAGAAACGCUGAAAACCAAUACAAAUACAUUAGGCAAGCUCAGUAGCGCUCGCUGUCCUAGUUGGGCCAGAAAAAUUCAUGGAUGCAGGAGGAAGGGUGCGCAUUUCCUCGCUACUCCCCUCGUAGGUCAGGGUAUAGGAGAUCCCCUCCAUGACUUCUUUGGGUUGUAACAGCGGCGGAGCUUCACGGGGUCAACUUGGGCCACCCACCACCCCAGCCCAUGAAGAAAUCUCCUAAUACUCUUUAGUAUUUGGGCCCUAAGUGCGGUAAAAACAACCCAAACCUCGUAAUUUUGCCCACCCUCAGCCAUUUCCCCUUCAAAGAUUUGGCCCUAGCUCCGCCACUAAGUCAUCACAUUUCUAUAUGAAUCCGUCAUCAGAUGCCUUGAGUAAACAUCAAUUGAACCUGGCCUCAUUUUAUCACAUGCCCAGACAGUGGCACCUCUCCGCAAUGUAGCUCCUCGCUGCAUUGCAAGGAUGAAGGAGGCAAUGGUUGGCUUCAUCACCAGCAAUCGCAGGCCCACCGAGGUAGCCCACUGUGUAGGGACAACCCCAAUCAUCAUAGUGUACUCCGUGUACAUGAAAGAUCAUGGUGAUGCUGACAAUUUCUCCUAAAACAACCCAGAGAAAAAUAAUUGAAUAAAUUUCAACAGAGAAGCCGAUAUUAUAGGGAAGAACGCUAAUGGGUCGCCAUUCUCAAAGAGGAAGGUGCUAACGCUGGAAGUGGCAAUGGGGUACACCGCCAUUUCCAUGAUUUUUUAGAAAAGGAGGAUGACCACCGGCCUCUGCAUCUGGGAGAUGCAUACGACCACUUUAUUAAUUAUUCUCGAGGACCUUACAAAGUAUUACAAACAAUAUACCUGAAUCCACCAUCUUGGCAACAUAUGCCGCUACUCUUAUCCAUAUGAUGAAGGGAUGCUAGCUAGGCUCCUACCCAAACCACUCACCUAAACCUAACAUCAAAAGCCGGAAACGUCAGCCGAGCCACAUACCGGGUCUGGGGCACAAUCCGGUCAGACGCACUCUUGCGUCGUCGCCGUCAUCUUCCACAGGUCCGUCUUCAGAUAAUAUUGAGUCUUCUACCUUGUGAAGGCCACAUCAGCCAUCGACGUCACCAUGACGCCAGACAGCUACCUCCUCCUGCGCGAGUCCAUCCGCGCAUCGGACGCCGAGCCUCCACGGCACCAUGCCGCCAAUCUCCCCUGUCAUUGCCAUGAUGCCAAUCCCCGUCGUGUAGUCGGAUCUUCCUAAACCGGCUAAAAAGGUAUUUUAGUUAGUUUCCUACUUAUUUCUCUGCUCGUUAUUUUUUCAGUCCGUACAUUUUAGAAAACUGGCGCACUUAGUGGCAUUUUUGCUGCUGGUUUUCAUGAAACCGGUUGUAAUCAAAGUUUUAAAUAGCUGGCUAUAGAGGUUUGAGCAAGGUGCCACUAAAUAGUAUUCAUGUGUGACUGUUCAAUAAAAUUACAAAAUAGCGACCUAUAGCCCCACUAUGGCCGCGCUAUAGUUGUUUGAGCAUGGUGCGCUAUUUCAAAACUAUGGUUGUGACGAGGGAUCAAAAUUUGUUUUAUUAGUAGUGAAAGAAUUACAUAUUGAGAAAGUAGUCCAUAUGUAUAUUUAUGGCUUUCAAGUAUAUACAACCUAAACAUAAAAUAUCUGAACAUUUGCAGCGCCUCCUACUCCGCCAGGUCCGCGUCCGGCGCGACCGCCCUGCCGGCGGUGACAUGCUCCUCCACCUGGAGAUGCUCCUGAAGGAGGUUGUGGUUGUAGUUGGCGUCGGCCCGCGCCUCCCGGAACUGCUACUCCCGCACCAUGUCCAUAUAAUGGGCACGGGCCUUGCCGAUGGUCAUGGUGCAAUGCACCGGCGAGGGUGGAGCGAAGGAGGAGGGUGCCGCGGAAAAAGAGGAGGAUAGCGAUGGCUCGUUGGAGGAGGCGUCCUCCAUUUGCACGUCCUCUGGCUGCCUGCCGGCCUGCCAGUCAGCAGCAAUGGAAGCCAUGGCCUUCUUUUGCUCCGACGUAAGCCCGUCCCAGCGAGCUUUGGCUGCGUGGGUGUAGGACCUUGAAGUAUGUCUAGAGGGNNNNNNNNNNNNNNNNNNNNNNNNNNNNNNNNNNNNNNNNNNNNNNNNNNNNNNNNNNNNNNNNNNNNNNNNNNNNNNNNNNNNNNNNNNNNNNNNNNNNNNNNNNNNNNNNNNNNNNNNNNNNNNNNNNNNNNNNNNNNNNNNNNNNNNNNNNNNNNNNNNNNNNNNNNNNNNNNNNNNNNNNNNNNNNNNNNNNNNNNNNNNNNNNNNNNNNNNNNNNNNNNNNNNNNNNNNNNNNNNNNNNNNNNNNNNNNNNNNNNNNNNNNNNNNNNNNNNNNNNNNNNNNNNNNNNNNNNNNNNNNNNNNNNNNNNNNNNNNNNNNNNNNNGAUUAGACUACUUGACCAAUUAAAAACUUAACCUUUUUCCAAUUUUAGAGUUUGGCAGAUUUUAGCUAUCUUAGGACAAGUCAAGCAAUCAUCACACAAUUCAAGCAAGCAUGCAAGAGUAUAUAUGCAACGGAAAUUAAAGCAUGCAACUUGCAAGAAAGUAAAGGGAAGGGUUUGGAGGAUUCAAACGCAGUUGGAGACACGGAUUUUUUGGCGUGAUUCCGAUAGGUGGUGCUAUUGUACAUCCACGUUGAUGGAGACUUCAACCCACGAAGGGUAAUGGUUGCGCGAGUCCACGAAGGGCUCCACCCAAGAAGGGUCCACGAAGAAGCAACCUUGUCUAUCCCACCAUGGCCAUCGCCCACGAAGGACUUGCCUCACUAGCGGUAGAUCUUCACGAAGUAGGCGAUCUCCUUGCCCUUACAACCUCCUUGGUUCUGUUGGGGAAUGUAGCAGAAAUUCAAAAUUUUCUACGCAUCACCAAGAUCAAUCUAUGGAGUAAUCUAGCAACGAGGGGAAGGAGAGUGCAUCUACAUACCCUUUUAGAUCGCUAAGCGGAAGCGUUCAAGAGAACGGGGUUGAAGGAGUCGUACUCGUCGUGAUCCAAAUCACCGGAGAUCCUAGUGCCGAACGGACGGCACCUCCGCGUUCAACACACGUACAGCCCGGUGACGUCUCCCAUGCCUUGAUCCAGCAAGGAGAGAGGGAGAGGUUGAGGAAGACUCCGUCCAGCAGUAGCACGACGGCGUGGUGGUGGUGGAGGAGCGUGGCAAUCCUGCAGGGCUUCGCCAAGCACCGCAAGAGAGGAGGAGCACUUGGGAGAGGGGGAGGGCUGCGCCAGGGGCAAGGGUGAAGCUCCCGUGCGCCUCCCCACUAUAUAUAGGGGUGGAGGGGGCUGGUUUCUUGCCCUCCAAGUCCAUUGGGGCGUUGGCAAAGGUGGGAGGAAAGAAAUCACAUCAUUUCCUUCCCCACCGAUUGUUAUCCCCCCUUUUUAGGGAUCUUGAUCUUAUCCCUUCGGGAUAUGAUCUUAUUCCUUCUAAGGGGGGAUCUUGGUGCGCCUUGACCAGGGGUGUGGGGCCUUGCCCCCACUACCCACGUUCAUGUGGGUCCCCCCAUGCAGGUGGGCCCCACUCCAGAACCUUCUAGAACCUUCCCGGUACAAUACCGAAAAAUCCCGAACAUUUUCCAGUGGCCAAAAUAGGACUUCGCAUAUAUAAAUCUUUACCUCCGGACCAUUCCGGAACUCCUCAUGACGUCCGGGAUCUCAUCCAGGACUCCGAACAACAUUCGGUAACCACAUACAAACUUCCUUUAUAACCCUAGCGUCAUCGAACCUUAAGUGUGUAGACCCUACGGGUUCGGGAACCAUGCAAACAUGACCGAGACAACUCUCCGGCCAAUAACCAACAGCGGGAUCUGGAUACCCAUGUUGGAUCCCACAUGUUCCACGAUGAUCUCAUUAGAUGAACCACGAUGUCAAGGAUUCAAUCAAUCCCGUAUUCAAUUCCCUUUGUCUAACGGUAUUGUACUUGCCCGAGAUUCGAUCGUCGGUAUACCGAUACCUUGUUCAAUCUCGUUACCGGCAAGUCUCUUUACUCGUUCCGUAAUACAUCAUCCCGUGAUCAACCCCUUGGUCACAUUGUGCACAUUAUGAUGAUGUCCUACCGAGUGGGCCCAGAGACACCUCUCCGUUUACACGGAGUAACAAAUUCCAGUCUCGAUUCGUGCCAACCCAACAGACACUUUCGGAGAUACCUAUAGUGCACCUUUAUAGCCACCCAUUUACGUUGUGACGUUUGGUACACCCAAAGCAUUCCUACGGUAUCCGGGAGUUGCACAAUCUCAUGGUCUAAGGAAAAGAUACUUGACAUUAGAAAAGCUUUAGCAUACGAACUACACGAUCUUUGUGCUAGGCGUAGGAUUGGGUCUUGUCCAUCACAUCAUUCUGCUAAUGAUGUGAUCCCGUUAUCAACGACAUCCAAUGUCCAUGGUCAGGAAACUGUAACCAUCUAUUGAUCAACGAGCUAGUCAACUAGAGGCUUACUAGGGACAUGGUGUUGUCUAUGUACCCACACAUGUAUCUGAGUUUCCUAUCAAUACAAUUAUAGCAUGGAUAAUAAACGAUUAUCAUGAAUAAGGAAAUAUAAUAAUAACUAAUUUAUUAUUGCCUCUAGGGCAUAUUUCCAACAGGUUCAACUCCACAAUCUUAUCGGAGGCUCCCAAGUGACACCUAGCCAAUCUAGGAGACACCACUCUCCAAGAAGUAACAAAUGGUGCAUUGAUGAUGAACUCCUUGCUCUUGUGCUUCAAAUGAUAGUCUCCCCAACACUCAACUCUCUCUCAUAGGAUUUGGAUCUGGUGGAAAGAAGAUUUGAGUGGAAAGCAACUUGGGGAAGGCUAGAGAUCAAGAUUCAUAUGAUAGGAAUGGAAUAUCUUGGCCUCAACACAUGAGUAGGUAGUUCUCUCUCAGAAAUGGUGAGUUGGAAGUGUAGGUUUCGUCUGAUGGCUCUCUCUCAGAAUGAAGAGGAGGUGGAGGGGUAUAUAUAGCCUCCACACAAAAUCUAACCGUUACACACAAUUUACCAAACUCAGUGGGACCGAUUCAACAGACUCGGUCAGACCGAUUUAGUAAACCUAGUGACCGUUAGUGAUUUUCGGUGGGACUGACAUGCAACUCGGUAGGACCGAUUCGGUUAGGGUUAGGGCAUAACGUAAUCUCGGUAAGACCGAUUACAGAAACUCGGUGAGACCGAUUUUGGUAAUAAGCUUUCCAGAGAGUUGGUCAGGUAAACUCGGUGGGACCGACUUUCUCUUUUUGGUGAGACCGAAAUGUUACAAAAGGGAAACAGAGAGUUUACAUUGCAAUCUCGGUGGGACCGAUCGCUCACUUCGGUUUGACCGAAACGUUACGAAGGGAAACAAAGAUAUUACAAUCCCAUCUCGGUGAGACCAAGAUCCCUAUCAAUACAAUUAUAGCAUGGAUAAUAAACGAUUAUCAUGAACAAGGAAAUAUAAUAAUAACUAAUUUAUUAUUGCCUCUAGGGCAUAUUUCCAACAGGUUCAACUCCACAAUCUUAUCGGAGGCUCCCAAGUGACACCUAGCCAAUCUAGGAGACACCACUCUCCAAGAAGUAACAAAUGGUGCAUUGAUGAUGAACUCCUUGCUCUUGUGCUUCAAAUGAUAGUCUCCCCAACACUCAACUCUCUCUCAUAGGAUUUGGAUCUGGUGGAAAGAAGAUUUGAGUGGAAAGCAACUUGGGGAAGGCUAGAGAUCAAGAUUCAUAUGAUAGGAAUGGAAUAUCUUGGCCUCAACACAUGAGUAGAUAGUUCUCUCUCAGAAAUGGUGAGUUGGAAGUGUAGGUUUCGUCGGAUGGCUCUCUCUUAGAAUGAAGAGGAGGUGGAGGGGUAUAUAUAGCCUCCACACAAAAUCUAACCGUUACACACAAUUUACCAAACUCAGUGGGACCGAUUCAACAGACUCGGUCAGACCGAUUUAGUAAACCUAGUGACCGUUAGUGAUUUUCGGUGGGACUGACAUGCAACUCGGUAGGACCGAUUCGGUUAGGGUUAGGGCAUAACGUAAUCUCGGUAAGACCGAUUACACAAACUCGGUGAGACCGAUUUUGGUAAUAAGCUUUCCAGAGAGUUGGUCAGGUAAACUCGGUGGGACCGACUUUCUCUUUUUGGUGAGACCGAAAUGUUACAAAAGGGAAACAUAGAGUUUACAUUGCAAUCUCGGUGGGACCGAUCGCUCACUUCGGUUUGACCGAAACGUUACGAAGGGAAACAAAGAUAUUACAAUCCCAUCUCGGUGAGACCAAGAUCCCUAUCGGUAGAACCGAUUUGCCUAGGGUUUGUGGCAGUGGCUAUGACAUUUGAACUCGGUGGCGCCGGAUAGGAAGAAUCAGUGUGACCGACUUUGGCUUUGGGUUUAGGUCAUUUGUGGAUGUGAGAAAGUAGCUGAGGGUUUUGGAGCAUAUCACUAAGCACAUGAAGCAAGAGGCUCAUUAAGCAACACCUCAUUCCUCCUUGAUAGUAUUGGCUUUUCCUAUAGACUCAAUGUGAUCUUGGAUCACUAAAAUAUAAAAUGAAGAGUCUUGAGCUAAUGAGCUUGAGCCAAUCCUUUGUCCUUAGUAUUUUGAGGGAUCCACUUUCAUCAUCCAUGCCAUGCCAUUCAUUGAGCUUUCGUAAAAUAUUAGUCUUGGAAUAGCAUUAGCUCAAUGAGCUAUAUGUUGUUAUGAAUUACCAAAACCACCUAGGGAUAGUUGCACUUUCAAUCUCCCCCUUUUUGGUAAUUGAUGACACAUAUAGAUCAAAGCUUCGACAAAUGAUAAUAAGAUUGAAAAACAUCGUCGCUUUGAGAAGUAUGUGAUAAGCAAGAGCUCCCCCUAAAUUUAUGCAUAGUUUAAGAUUUGCUUUGGACUGCAAAUGCACAAGGAAUUAGGCUCAUGGGUUACUCUUCCAUGUCACAUAUAUCUUGGUGGAGCGCUCAAAAUGAUAAAGAUUGAAUACAUGCACUCAUCACCAAGCAAAGUGAAUGAUCACAUAGGAUAGAUAGGAUAAUAUCAUCAAACAUGCAUAAGUGUAGCUUAUGAUCAAACACAUGAUCAUCAAUGUCUCACAAGAAUAGCAUAGUAUAUCAAGCAAUCAAAAGCAAACAAGUUUAAAACCACCAAAGCAAGAGAGAACAAAAGCAACUCUCUCUCUCUCUCUCUCGAAGCCUAUGAUCUAUACAUUUUUCUCCCCCUUUGGCAACAAGUUACCAAAAAGUUCAUAGAAAAUGCAUAGUGUUAGAUCGACUCUCAGGCUUGAUCUUCAGUUGGUGGUGUAGAGAUGGCUCCUUGGAUGAAGGCUCCAGUUGAUGUAGAGGGAGCUGGAGGAGUUGGUGCUGGAGGUGGUUGUACUGGAGCUGUAGGAGCUGUGGCUGGUGCAGAUGAUGUUGCUCUAGUGUAUGUCACUGGCACUGCAGCUGACCUCUGAGCUCUAGGCACUCUGAAAAAUACAUUAGUGGUAGUCUUGCCCUUCCUCUCCUGCAUGUCAUCCUGCAGCUGCUCCUCAACUGACUGAAUCUCAGUUACCUUGACAUCAAGAUCAUAGAAUUUUUGUUCCAUGAUUCUUUCUAAGCUCUCCUGAUUCUGAGUUAAGGUGGCCAACCCCUUCUCAAUCCUUAGUGUUGAUGCUAUCAAGUAACCAAGCUGCUCCUGCUUGUUCUUCAAGAAAUACUCAGAUGCCUCCUCUUGAGUUGGCAUCUUGGCAGCCUUCUCCUUGCUUGCCUUCUCCUUCUUCUCUUGAGCUUGAACUGAUGAUGGAUCAUCCUCAUUCAUGACAACCUCAUAGUCCUCAAAGUCUGGAUAGAGAGGAAAAUGUUCCCUAUCCAAUAGAUAUUUGCUUGUGCCCAUCUUUGAGUUAAUCAACUCCUGAAUCCGAGGGGCAUAUCCACAACUCCUCUUAUGAUCUGCUGCAGUCCUCUUAAUAGUUUCUACUAUAAGGCUCAUGACCUUGAAUUUCUGAGGCACAUCAAACAAAUGCAACAUGUUGAUUGCAUGCCCUCUGAUCAUGUUGUGGUCACCAUACUUAGGCAAUAGAGUGUGCCUUAGGAUCCACUUUAUUGUAGGCAGCCCUAACAUAAGAAAGUGGACUGAUCCAAAAGAGAAAGUCUCUAGGGCCUUGUCUGGGAUCUCCUUGUACAUAUGUGCCAUGGUAUUAUGUCCCAUUUUCUUCUUGGCAUAUACAUCCAGGUCAUCAUCAUUUUCCUUUGGGGCAUUUAUCAGUUUUGCCCACUCCUCAACAGUUGACUGGUACCUUGUACCUUCAGACAUCCAAACUAUCCUUCCAUCUGGAUAGAAGUGUGCUGUGGAGUAGAAUUGCAUAAUGAGUUCAUCAUUCCAAUUUGUGAGCUUCUGCCCAACAAAAUCUGCAACUCCAUAAGCAACAAACUGUCUUGUACUCCUGGAUAGUGUUCUUCAUUUUCCUUCAUGUAGGUCCAGUCGACCCACCUCAUAUCACAACAAUGGGCUUUUUGUCCAACAAGAUUGUCUCAUAGAAGUCCCGCUGUUCCUUUGUAUGGAACUUGUAAUCAAUAGCAAUUCUUCUCCUUGUGGCAUAUGGAUCUGCCAUCCUCCAUAGCCUCAACCCUGAAUCUUUUCUGAUGUUCAUGUCCUCAUCUACAAGAUGGGCAUCAUUAUGGUCUGGUAUCUUGGGCUUGAGCUUCCUCAGAACUUGUCCUUCUUCAUCUUCCUCCUCAGCAGCCUCAGGCACUGGGGCCUUGUUCUUCUUAGCAGCUGAAAUACUCCUGGUAUUCCUCUUUGGUGCAUACUUGGCCUUGGGGGCAGCUUUGGGUGCUUCCUUGGGCUUAGAUGUUGUAGCCCCUGAUCUAAUAGCAUCUCCCAUAAGCUUUGGUGCCUUUGGUGCUGGUGCAGCAAGAUCUUCUUCUUCCAUCAUGGAAGGUUGCCCAACUACUCUGGCCAUGGUCUUCUUGACCCUUUCCUUCCUUUUCUUUCCUUCAGCAGCUGGCUCUUCAGGCAUCUCAGGCAGUUGAGUUGAUGCUCUGGCUUUGGACAUUGGUUGUCUCCCUGCAGGCCUUUUGAUCUUCAUGCCUGGCUUUACUGCAGUUGAACUAAGCACCUUCUUGUGCACUACCUUCUUGGAAGUAGCUUCAUCCUCUUCAGAUCUAUAAUCCUCAUCUUCAGAGUCUGAAGUUCUCUUCUUCCUUUGCCUGGUAGCAGCCUUAGGCAGGUUGCUAGGAGUGCUCCUGCUGCCUUCAUCUGAAGUGCUGGAGGGACUAGUGCCCUCACUCAUUUGCAUAUGCCCUUCUGACCUGUUCUGACUGUCACUCUGGUUUGACAUGCUGCAAACUCUGACUGCUGACCCUGUGAAGAGUUAUAGAUGAGAUGGAGUGGAUGAGCAUCACAAAAUGCAGAGAUUUUUGCAAAAGAAUGAUUCAAAAAUUCAGUUUUAGUUUUCCACAGAAAGCAUUUCGGAUCAACCGAUUUUCACACUAGGUGAUACCGAAGCAGUUUUGGAACCUAAACUAAUGAACUCAGUUGGACCGAGUCACAGUUCGGUGGCACCGAGAUUGCUAGGGUUUCACAAAGUCCUAAAAUCGGUAGCACCGAUUAGCAAUUCUCGAUCAGAGCGAGAGUUACUAGUGCAAUGGCAUAAGCCAAAUCGGCGGGACCGAGUUUUUCAACUCGGUGGGUCCGAGAUGGUUUCGGCGGAAACCUAACCCUAAAUUUUCAAAUCUCAUCUAAUCUACGGAUUGCAUUGACUGGAUCGGAGUGUUUCAAUCGUGGCAAGAAUCAAUAAGAACACAAUGUGUUAGCAAUCGGACGAGGAUAGCACAGUGAUCGAGUCCAUACCCUAGCUUGGCGAUGAACUCGCUACGGCGGCAACGGCGGGGUUGAAUUCUGUUGAUGGCGGCGGAGACCAGCGACAGGAGGCGGCUGGCGACGAGGAGACGAUCCGGAGACCUUGGAGGCAGAGCGAGCUAUUGCACGGGCGAAGGGUUUCGGAGAAAUUUCCAAAUUUUGCUCGUGACUAUAUAUAGCCCGACCCUGUCGAUGUGACUGAGUGGAACAAGUCAGUGGCACCGAGAUGCAUAACUGUGUUCAGUUGCAGCAACUCGGUGUGACCGAAAAGUUCAAAUCGGUUGCACCGAGAUUAAAAACCUAGAUCGACUUAGUGAUCUCGGUAGGACCGAAAUGGAGGAAUCGGUCAGACCGAGAAUCACAAAGAAGUUUUGGAAGUUUAAGUCUAUGACGAAUCAGGGACUCCGAGUGCUCCUCACACAGAGUGGUUCGAAUCUGACUUGAUCAAAUUUUGUGAUGUAGCAUGAAUAGAGUUUGAGAGAGAAAAGCAUAGAUAGCUAGAGAAAGUUCUUAGGCAUUCUUGUCCAUCCACUUGGCCAAAAGAAGGAAGAACCAAACAAUCAAAACAACAAGUGAAUGUCCUUGAAUGAGUAAAUAUGCACCAACAUGCUCACACAAUAAGAUGGCAAAUGAAAUAUGUGGCAAAGCAUGCACAACCAAUUCUAGCAUCUAUCAAACAAUUGGCGAUGACUAGGUCAUCUAUAUAUGAGUAUAUUGACUUAGGAGUCAAAUGAUAAACAUUUGAUCAUAGGUCAUACUCAUCGUUUAAGCCCAAGUGGGGUUACCACUUUUACAUAAUGCAUUGAUGUGUUCACACCAUUAGAGUUGCUUUGACUCAAGUCUUACAGUUAAGCUCCCCCUAGAUGUGAGAUCCCCUUUUAGAGGGAUGAACUAACCUUGGGUUUUGUCGAUGAUGACUUCAUGUAGGUGUUGAAGAUGUGGAUGCUCAAUGUUGAUGUAGAUCAUUUGGAGCAAUCCAUUGGAGUGAGUUGCACUUUCAACAUACCUACAUGGGUUAGUCCCACAAGGAACAAACAAGAAUAUCCAUAGACAUAGAGUGAUGCACACACAAGAUGAUGUCCAUGAAAACAUUAGUUUACCUUGUUCCUUGCCUUACCAACAUGAGGGUUUGUGACUCCUUGAACUAGUGCAAGAUGUGGAAGUUGAUUGCACUUGUCCUUGCCAUAAUAAUAUGAGUGAAGAAUGUUGGCGGAGUCACCCUCAAGAACUCUCUAGUUCUUCUUCUUCGGGAUCCACAUCAUCUUGAUGGGAAUCCUUUGAGUUGUAGUUGUACUUGAUGAAGUAGAACUUGACGUAGUCAUGGGAAUCCACUUGACCGAGACCUUAGGUGCUUCUUCAAAUGCAUUAAUCUCUUCUUGAAGCUUGUCCUUGCCUUUGUUCUUGUGGUCUUGUGGUGGAAGAUCAUCUUGAGCUUGUGUUCCCUUGAAGGAAGUAGGAUCAUACUUCUCUUGUUGAGGAACAAACUUUGUCUUGGGGUAUUGAUCUUCUUCCCACUCAACUCCAUUGGCAUUGAACUUUCGUUCAAAACCAACACCUUGAUUCUUCCAGUGCCUUCCUUGCUUGCGUACAAUUUCCUCGAAUUGCUUACUCCCGGCAAGGCUCUUGUAAACACCUUUCUCUAUAAUUCCCUUCAAUAAGCUAUUUUCUUGCUCAAGUGUAACUUGGCUAAGAGAAUCAUUAGUGGAAUCAAGAGAACUACUAGAAGCAACAAUAUUGGAUUUGACAUUGUUAUUGUUACUACUAGAGGAAGUAUUUUUCUUGUACUUGUUACUAGACUUGACUUGAGGCAUGUAAGUAGAUAGGAGUAAACGCUUGGCAAUGUAAGAAGAACUUUUCUUAUGAAGAUCAUCAUUGAUUGCUUUUAAGAACUCAUGCUCUUGCUCAAGAUUGAGCUUUUCAAAGCGUAACUUAUCAUGAGCCCUUAAAAGUUCUUGAUGAUUUUCGAAUAUAGUUUCAUGAGCCAACUUAAGAGUGUUUAGUUCUUUAGUUAGAAGCUCAAUCUUAUCCUUAUCAUUGUCAUUCGUUUUAUCUUGAUUAGCUUGAUUAAUUGACGUUUCAUCAUAGUAUUCAUCACUAGAGUUGUCAACAAGUAAAUCAUCAUCCACAAGCAAGUAAUCUUCUUCACUAUUGAAAUCAACAUACUCAGGAUGUGUUACCUUUGGACCUUUGGCCAUGAAGCAUCUUCCAAUUCUUCAUUGGUGAAUCAAAUAUGUCGUAGGAGUUGGUCGACACAAGUGCUAGACCGGCAACACCUUCAUCUUGAGUAUAUUCGGAGUCGGAGUGAUAGCUUCUCUCGGAGUGUUUGUCAGAGUCGGAGCCGGAAACCCAUUCACCAACAUGAGCUUGAUGUCUUUGUUUUGUGUAGCUCCUUGAUGACUUGUCCUUCCUUUCCGAAUCUUUGCUUCUCCGUGAGGAUCAUCGUUCAUAACGAUCAUCUCUACUCCUUCUCUCUCUUGGUGGUGAUUCUUCUCUUCUACUUCUUAUUUUUGGAGAAUCUUCUCUUCUUUUGUAGGGUGCCGUACACUCAUUGGAAUAGUGUCCAGGCCUCCCACAAUUGUAGCAAUUGCGCUCUCGACUAGAAGAUCUUUUGUCAUGGUAAGACCUUGACUUGGAGCUUCUUUCUUUGCUUCUACUCUUGUAGAAUUUGUUGAAGUUCUUCACCAUUAAGCUCAAUUCUUCAUUGAAGGUUUGUUUCUCACUUGAUGAUGUGGGGGCUUCACUUGAGGCUUUGUAAGCACCACUUGACUUGUUGUGAAGUUCCUCCUUAUCCUUGAGUGAUGUCUCAUGAGUAACAAUCCUUCCAAUGACUUCCGUUGGCUUGAGAUCUUUGUAGUUUGGCAUCAUUUGGAUCAAUGUGCACACGGUAUCAUACUUUCCAUCCAAUGCUCUUAGGAUCUUCUUGAUGAUGAAUCUGUCGGUCAUCUCUUCACUCCCUAAGCCAUCAAUCUCAUUUGUAAUAAGAGCAAUCCUAGAGUACAUUUCAGCGACACCUUCACCAUCCUUCAUUUUGAACUUGUCAAGCUGACUUUGGAGCACAUCCAACUUGGAUUCCUUGACGGAUUCGGUACCUUCGUGCAUAUCAAUAAAAGUGUCCCAAAUUUCCUUUGCAUUCUCAAGACGGCUGAUUUUGUUGAAUUCUUCGGGGCACAAUCCGUUGAAGAUGAUAUCACAAGCUUGAGCGUUGUAUUGUAGCAUCUUCAAUUCUUCCGCAUUAGCUUCACGGUUCGGCUCUCUCCCAUCAAAUAAUUCACCUUGCAAGCCAAUACAAAUAAUAGCCCAAACGGCGGGGUUAUGUCCGAGAAUAUGCAUUUUCAUCUUAUGCUUCCAACUAGCAAAAUUAGUACCAUCAAAGUAAGGACCUCUACGGUGAUAAUUUCCCUCGCUAGACACCAUACUCUCCUAGGUUAUGAAACCGAGGCUAUGACCACCAAAAGCUAUGGAAAUCAAAGCAAAUGGAGACAAAAGCUCUAAUACCACUUGUAGGACCUUGAAGUAUGUCUAGAGGGGGGGGGGGUGAUUAGACUACUUGACCAAUUAAAAACUUAACCUUUUCCCAAUUUUAGAGUUUGGCAGAUUUUAGCUAUCUUAGGACAAGUCAAGCAAUCAUCACACAAUUCAAGCAAGCAUGCAAGAGUAUAUAGGCAGCGGAAAUUAAAGCAUGCAACUUGCAAGAAAGUAAAGGGAAGGGUUUGGAGGAUUCAAACGCAGUUGGAGACAUGGAUGUUUUUGGCGUGGUUCUGAUAGGUGGUGCUAUCGUACAUCCACGUUGAUGGAGACUUCAACCCACGAAGGGUAACGGUUGCGCGAGUCCACGGAGGGCUCCACCCAAGAAGGGUCCACGAAGAAGCAACCUUGUCUAUCCCACCAUGGCCGUCGCCCACGAAGGACUUGCCUCACUAGCGGUAGAUCUUCACGAAGUAGGCGAUCUCCUUGCCCUUACAAACUCCUUGGUUCAACUCCACAAUCUUGUCGGAGCCUCCCAAGAGACACCUAGCCAAUCUAGGAGACACCACUCUCCAAGAAGUAACAAAUGGUGCAUUGAUGAUGAACUCCUUGCUCUUGUGCUUCAAAUGAUAGUCUCCCCAACACUCAACUCUCUCUCAUAGGAUUUGGAUCUGGUGGAAAGAAGAUUUGAGUGGAAAGCAACUUGGGGAGGUCUAGAGAUCAAGAUUCAUAUGGUAGGAAUGGAAUAUCUUGGCCUCAACACAUGAGUAGGUAGUUCUCUCUCAGAAAUGGUGAGUUGGAAGUGUAGGUUUCAUCUAAUGGCUCUCUCUCCGAAUGAAGAGGAGGUGGAGGGGUAUAUAUAGCCUCCACACAAAAUCUAACCGUUACACACAAUUUACCAAACUCGGUGGGACCGAUUCAACAGACUCGGUUGGACCUAUUUAGUAAACCUAGUGACCGUUAGUAAUUUUCGGUGGGACUGACAUGCAACUCGGUAGGACCGAUUCGGUUAGGGUUAGGGCAUAACGUAAUCUCGGUAAGACAGAUUACACAAACUCGGUGAGACCGAUUUUGGUAAUAAGCUUUCCUGAGAGUUGGUUAGGUAAACUCGGUGGGACCGAUUUGCUCUUUUCGGUGAGACCGAAAUGUUACAAAAGGGAAACAGAGAGUUUACAUUGCAAUCUCGGUGGGACCGAUUGCUCAGUUCGGUUUGACCGAAACAUUACGAAGGGAAACAGAGAGAUUACAAUCCCAUCUCGGUGAGACCGAGAUCCCUAUCGGUAGAACCGAUUUGCCUAGGGUUUGUGGUAGUGGCUAUGACAUUUGAACUCGAUGGCGCCGGAUAGGAAGAAUUGGUGUGACCGAUUUUGGCUUUGGGUUUAGGUCAUUUGUGGAUGUGAGAAAGUAGCUGAGGGUUUUGGAGCAUAUCACUAAGCACAUGAAGCAAGAGGCUCAUUAAGCAACACCUCAUCCCUCCUUGAUAGUAUUGGCUUUUCCUAUAGACUCAAUGUGACCUUGGAUCACUAAAAUAUAAAAUGAAGAGUCUUGAGCUAAUGAGCUUGAGCCAAUCCUUUGUCCUUAGUAUUUUGAGGGAUCCACUUUCAUCAUCCAUGCCAUGCCAUUCAUUGAGCUUUCCUGAAAUAUUAGUCUUGGAAUAGCAUUAGCUCAAUGAGCUAUAUGUUGUUAUGAAUUACCAAAACCACCUAGGGAUAGUUGCACUUUCAGUGGGGAUCCAUGACGGGGAGUGGUGUGGAGAGGGAUGACUGUGGCUAUGGCCGGGGGACCAGGGCAAUGGUUUAUAUAGCACCGGUGGGCGGCAGUCGAAGGGACGAGUGGCGUCGGAGGAGACGCCCCGGCAACCGCGUGCCAUGAAUACGGACGGUAGGGCAGCCGUCGUGUUGUCUGAACAUAUGGCAGCCGCUUGCACUGGGAAGUGGCGUGGGCGGCGCUCUCUCGACUGGCGCCCUGCUUCAAUGCCGGCGCUAGUGAGUGGUCGUGUUCGCUUUGGGCGGCAAUGAAUGCGGGCGCUGACGUAAAAUGCGUGAGAGAGGUGAUGGGUUUUGGUCGGCCAGGGCGGUCAGAAAUGGGCUUGGGAUCGAUCCGUACUCCUGCAAACCUCCCCCACUUUUGUCUCUAGUUUGCAGGAGAAAUCGCGUCCGACCUUGUCGCGGACCGACACAUGCCCACGUUAGAUGGCUUCCACGAUCCGGACAUCGUAGUUUGGACCAUUCCGGGAGGUUUGCGGGUCGGCGUUGGAGAUGCCCUAACAAUACUUAUGCAAGACUACACUUUUACUUAAGAAAAAAACAAGAUGGGCUAGUUUGGCAGCAAAGUAUUUUCUAAACUGUGGUAAUUGAAAACCACAAUAUUACUCUGGGUGGGCAAAGAAUACUACGGUUUUCUAAAACCAAUGUUUUUCUCAGUUUUACAUGUGUUUGGUUGCUGUUAUUUAACCAAAGUUUUGACUAAGUAUUUUAGCGUGGGUGACUGAGUAGUUAGCGCUGCUAACGGCUGCCGGCUGCAUGCAGCUGCCAUGCACACAUAAUACCAUUCUAGGAUCAGUCAGCUAGAUUGAAGAAAUGCCAUCCUAGGAGUAGUCAACUGGAUUGAAGUAAUACAAUCCUAGGAGCGUGUUGCCAUUAUAUGUCUAUAUACUUGCAUGUACUUAUCGAAAAAGGCUUUCGCCCCGCUUUAUAUAUAAAGCAAAGAUUCACAGUGUCCGGUACAACUGCACUUACCCACCACAAACACACACACACAUCCAAGACAGGAUACAUAGGCGCUGAUGAAGCCAUGUACCUAGGGUAGGGUCAUGGACCUAUCCAAGAUACCCUCCCCAAGGACAUCUCUAGAAGAAACUACCUUUCAGUCGACCUGGAAGGAUUCCACUCGACAGACUCGAAGACACUCGACCAUGAAGCCACUCACUCGACCGCCAGGAGAUCUAGAGUCACUCUGCACACAAACGGUCUGUUAUUAAGUAGUCUUUAUGGUCAUGAUAGCACUUUAUGUAGGGCGUUACCAGUAACGCCAUGCCUUAAUGUACUUUAAACCCCGCAUAACUGAGGGCCGGAGGGGUCUGGCAGAUUCUAUAUAAGCCACCCCCCUCCUCAGUGUAAAGGGUUUGCACCCCUGUAACUCAUACGCAUAUAAUCCAGUCGACCGCCUCCGGGCUCCGAGAUGUAGGGCUGUUACUUCCUCCGAGAGGGGCCUGAACUCAUAAAUCCCUUGCGUAUACAACUACUCCAUAGCUAGGAUCUUGCCUCUCCAUACCUACCCCCCUUCUACUGUCAGACUUAGAACCACGACAGGCGCUGAACGCAGCAACACACACCCUAGCACUACAAGAGCCGCCGGGGGCAUCAUCCGAAGAAGUGAAGCCGCAUAUGAUGAAACGUGGGCUCCAAGGUGGUGCCUUCAGAAAGGAUACGACACCGGAGCGUCGCCACCGCCCGAUCCGAGGAUCAGAGUUUCCCCUGGAGCACCACGACCGACAGUGAUAGCCGCGAUGACGCCUUCAAGAAGGGAGCGAUCUUCGCCGUCGCCAGUCCGUCCGAAGAUAGAGUAGGUUUUCACCCCGGCCAACAUUCACCGCUACCGAACGCCACACCCCGGCUACCACGCCGCCCACACGGCCGUGGCAGCCGGGCAACACCGAGGCACGAGCUCUGCCCAUGAGCACCGCGCCACCACCCCCAGGGCCGCCGCCUCGGAAUCCAAGACCUUGACACCAAGUCCCCCGAGCCCCACCGCUACCCCCACUGCAGAGACGGGCGGAAAGGAUCCGCCUUUCACACCCCUGGCCGGUCCCAACGCCGAGACCCAAUGGGUUGGCCACAACAAGCCUCCAUCGAGCCGUCCUUUACACCGGGCGCGAGACGGGCCGGCCCUGCUGCCGGGCGCGAGACAUGCAUGUACUUCGAGCCGGUCCUAAAUUCUUUGUGCGUGUACAUGCGCCAUUUAUACUGAAUCAGCUAGCUAGCUAGUAUAUAUAACCUGCUGCUUAUGAGUGUUCUCCAAAAGGAUCAAUCAAUCUAAUUCGUGCGCUACUCGCCGGAAAUACAUAGGCAGCCAAGGACUCGAGAAAUAGCUUGCUGCGAACAGAGUGUUCUCCCUGGUGGUGAGCUUGAUUCAGUCAUGGCACUGCAGAGAAGAGAUGGAGACUCGCACGCGACGCGCCAGCUGGAAGAUAAACUAAUCAAACUGAAUCGGCUAUAACCAGGAGAUAUAAUAUGGUCGUUUAUCAUAUAAGAGAAAGAGGAAAAAUAUGAUGGGAUCGCUCUGAAUAUUCUUAUCUAGACGUAGACGGCAACGUCAAGUGCGAUCUCCCAGAAGAUUUCUCUCCGUUCUGUUUUAAAAAAAGAGGUCGGGACCUCUUUUCCGAAUACUGCAAAAAGACCAUGGUUUCUAGCAUACUGUGGUUUAUAAAACUUUGGUUUUUUCUGAAGCCAAACGCAGCAAAGUAUUCAAAACCAUGGUAUUUUUCAGAAACCACGGUAUUCUCAGAAAACUUUAAAAAAACUUUGCUGCCAAACGCAGCCUAAAGGGUUUCCCCGCUUUAUAUUAUGCAAGACUUACACUUUUACUUUUACUGAGCGAAGGGAGUAAUGAUGUGACACUCAUGGUAAUAUAUUGCAACGAUAUCACGAAGUACUCCAACAUUACAACAGCGAUGCAUGCAUGCAUCCUGACAGCAGGUCAUAACAAGAACACUAAUUUGUGGCAACAAUAGUACACUCUAUAUUGCCACACAUCACUUCUCUCGGUAAUAUUUCCAUGCAUGUACUACAGCAAUAUUUUGUUUCUGCUGCAGUAACCUGCAUGUCAUAUUGCAAGCUAGAGAAUUAUUAAGUACUAGUACUAAAAGUAAGUGAAGGGAAAACCGUACGUGGCAAUGGAACUGCCACGG
rnacentral:lncRNA from 1 species